CUUCAGCGCGCCCAGCCACAGCGGCCGUUCGGCCUCCCGGCCCUGGCCGUAGGUGGCGAGGAUGGCCUGGGCCUC
rfam:Streptomyces violaceusniger Tu 4113, complete genome.